CCCCUAAGGCGAGGCCGAAAGGCGUAGUCGAUGGGAAACAGGUUAAUAUUCCUGUACUUGGUGUUACUGCGAAGGGGGGACGGAGAAGGCUAUGUUAGCCGGGCGACGGUUGUCCCGGUUUAAGCAUGUAGGCUGGUUAUCCAGGCAAAUCCGGAUAAUCAAGGCUGAGGUGUGAUGACGAGGCACUACGGUGCUGAAGUAACAAAUGCCCUGCUUCCAGGAAAAGCCUCUAAGCAUCAGGUAACAUCAAAUCGUACCCCAAACCGACACAGGUGGUCAGGUAGAGAAUACCAAGGCGCUUGAGAGAACUCGGGUGAAGGAACUAGGCAAAAUGGUGCCGUAACUUCGGGAGAAGGCACGCUGGUGUGUAGGUGAAGUCCCUGCGGAUGGAGCUGAGACCAGUCGAAGAUACCAGCUGGCUGCAACUGUUUAUUAAAAACACAGCACUGUGCAAACACGAAAGUGGACGUAUACGGUGUGACGCCUGCCCGGUGCCGGAAGGUUAAUUGAUGGGGUUAUCCGUAAGGAGAAGCUCUUGAUCGAAGCCCCGGUAAACGGCGGCCGUAACUAUAACGGUCCUAAGGUAGCGAAAUUCCUUGUCGGGUAAGUUCCGACCUGCACGAAUGGCGUAAUGAUGGCCAGGCUGUCUCCACCCGAGACUCAGUGAAAUUGAACUCGCUGUGAAGAUGCAGUGUACCCGCGGCAAGACGGAAAGACCCCGUGAACCUUUACUAUAGCUUGACACUGAACAUUGAGCCUUGAUGUGUAGGAUAGGUGGGAGGCUUUGAAGCGUGGACGCCAGUCUGCGUGGAGCCAACCUUGAAAUACCACCCUUUAAUGUUUGAUGUUCUAACGUUGGCCCCUUACCGGGGUUGCGGACAGUGUCUGGUGGGUAGUUUGACUGGGGCGGUCUCCUCCCAAAGCGUAACGGAGGAGCACGAAGGUUAGCUAAUCCUGGUCGGACAUCAGGAGGUUAGUGCAAUGGCAUAAGCUAGCUUGACUGCGAGCGUGACGGCGCGAGCAGGUGCGAAAGCAGGUCAUAGUGAUCCGGUGGUUCUGAAUGGAAGGGCCAUCGCUCAACGGAUAAAAGGUACUCCGGGGAUAACAGGCUGAUACCGCCCAAGAGUUCAUAUCGACGGCGGUGUUUGGCACCUCGAUGUCGGCUCAUCACAUCCUGGGGCUGAAGUAGGUCCCAAGGGUAUGGCUGUUCGCCAUUUAAAGUGGUACGCGAGCUGGGUUUAGAACGUCGUGAGACAGUUCGGUCCCUAUCUGCCGUGGGCGCUGGAGAAUUGAGGGGGGCUGCUCCUAGUACGAGAGGACCGGAGUGGACGCAUCACUGGUGUUCGGGUUGUCAUGCCAAUGGCACUGCCCGGUAGCUAAAUGCGGAAGAGAUAAGUGCUGAAAGCAUCUAAGCACGAAACUUGCCCCGAGAUGAGUUCUCCCUGAGACUUUAAGUCUCCUGAAGGAACGUUAAAGACGAUGACGUUGAUAGGCCGGGUGUGUAAGCGCAGCGAUGCGUUGAGCUAACCGGUACUAAUGAACCGUGAGGCUUAACCUU
rnacentral:rRNA from 1 species